UUCUCUGAAAAGGAAAAAUGAUAAGAUUAAAAUUAAAAAAAAAUUGUUGUCAGAAUAUUUUUAAGAGAACUGUAACCUUUCAAUCUGACCUGCUCUUUGGUGAACAAAUCAAACGACACAAUUAUGUCUUCUCUGAACUUUAGUGGCUUUGGGUCUUAAUGCGUCAGGUUGGGCUUAGCAUAAGGAAUAGCUUUAUCAUGCUCAGUGUCCCCAGAGCAGAGCGCAUGUCCUAGGAGGGCAGCAGGCCCCUGCUGCAGAGAGAUUCCCACGUAACAGAGACCAAGUUCCCGGGCAUCAUUGGGAAGCGUCCAAAGCGGGCGAGACAGGGAGAGCCCGAGGGCACUAAGUACCCCCGGGGCUAUUGCAGUCCCAGCAUCCAGUGAAUUCAUUUGUGAAUUGGUCCACUCAUUAAUUCUUUCACCCAGGCGACAACUACUUUUUCAGAACCUUUGAAUAUUGCACGUGGGGCCAAGUGAUAAAAGUGCAACAGUGAGCAGAACAAUGAGGUCUCAGCCCUCGGGAAGCUUCUGGAAUUGGGGCAGAGUGCUGUCUAGCUCUGUCUCAGCUCCGGCAUCUGCAGAUAGAGGCCACCCUAGAAACGGCCCCCAGGACCAGAUCUGCUCAGCCCCAUUGUGUGUGUGGGGGCGCCACUUGAGUGCCAGCCACGCAGUGGCAGGUGGGCAGAUUGCCCAGUCUCAGGCAUUUCUUUCAUGGCAACCCAAAAUGGACUAACACACCAAGCAAGCGCAGAAUCAACAAAAUGAUGCAACUGUCAGUAGGUGCUAAGAAGCAAACCCCGAGGUGCCAGGGCAAACGAUGCCCAGCGGGUGAGAAGGCGCCUCGCUCGGGCAGCCAACACCUCUCUCUUCCUAUCGCUGUCUCUAUAGACCUGUAUCUUCACCCAGGUGAGCCCUUUCAGGUCUAAAUUCAAAUUCGAGGGAGCUUCAUUUGCCUUUGGGGGUUACGGGGUAGAAGCACAUCAGAGCUCAGGACCACACGGCAGAUGCCACAGGCAGCACGAGUGUCCUGAGGUCUGUGCCUCCCUCUGGCAGCCACCGCUGCGGCCCCGGAGCAGGAGGGGGGUGGUGUCGUCCUCACGGCCAGGAAUCUUCCCUCCCCCGCUUGCAAUGCCAGUCAUCAGGGGAGCUUGAAGAGCAAGCACUUUGGAGAGCCGUUUAAAAAAGUGAUGAAACCACCUAUAAACCAGCACAUUAUACAGUGAGGUAUUUUAUGUCUUGUUUUCUUUACAGCCGUUCUGAAAGGGGACAUAAAAGUCACUGGAAAGUCCUUGUUCUCGUUGCCUCCAGGCCCCAUUGCAGACUCCAUGGCACGACUCUUUCGUGUCCAGCACCGGGAGGGACCUGCAGGGGCUGCCACUCAGCAUUCUGUCAUCAAGAUAAGUCAAGCAGGUGACCCUCCAACCACCAGGGUUAGGGCUCUGACCCCUGCAUAGUUGAAAAUUCACGUGUAACCUUUGACUCCCCUGAAACUUAACUACUAACCACCCACUGUUGACCGGAAGCCUCACUAAUCACAUACAUAGUCGAUUGACACAUAUUCUGUAUGUUGUAUGUGUUCCAUACUGUAUUCUUACAAUAAAGUAAGAGAA